rnacentral:lncRNA from 1 species
UGGGGCGGGAUAUGGGGCGGGAUAUGGGGUGGGAUAUGGGGAAUCCCUAUGGCAUGGUAUCCCUAUGGGGACUCCCAAUGGGGUGUCCUUAUGUGGUAUCCCUAUGGGGUGUUCUAUGGGGUGUCCCUAUGGGGUGGCUGUCUUUAUGGGGUGUCCCUAUGGGGUGUCUAUGGGUCCCUAUGUGUUUCUAUGGGUCCCUAUGGGUCUCUAUGGGUCCCUAUGUGUUUCUAUGGGGUCUCUAUGGGUCUCCAUGGGUCCCUAUGGGUCCCUAUGGGGUUUCUAUGGGUCUCUGUGGGUCCCUAUGGGUUUCUAUGUGUCCCUAUGGGUCCCUAUGCAUCUCUAUGCGUUUCUAUGGGUCCCUAUGCGUUUCUAUGGGCCCCUAUGUGUUUCUAUGGGUCUCUAUGGGUCCCUAUGUGUUUCUAUGGGUCCCUAUGGGUUUCUAUGGGUCCCUAUGGGUCUCUAUGGGUCUCUAUGGGUCCCUAUGGGUCCGUAUGUGUCUCUAUGGGGUCUCUAUGGGUCCCUAUGCGUCUCUAUGCGUCUCUGUGGGUCCCUAUGUGUUUCUAUGGGUCCCUAUGGGUCUCUAUGGGUCCCUAUGUGUUUCUAUGGGUUCCUAUGGGUCUCUAUGGGUCCCUAUGCGUUUUUAUGGGGUCCCUAUGGGUCUCAAUGUAUCUCUAUGGGGUUUCUAUGUGUCUCUAUGGGGUCUCUAUGGGUCCCUAUGUGCCUCUGUGGGUCCCUAUGGGGUCUCUAUGUGUUUCUAUGGGGUCCCUAUGGGUCUCAGUGUGUCUCUAUGGGGUCUCUAUGUGUUUCUAUGGGGUCCCUAUGGGUCUCUAUGGGUCUCUAUGGGGCCCCUAUGGGUCUCAAUGGGUCCCUAUGGGUCUCUAUGGGUCUCUAUGGGGUCCCUAUGGGUCUCUAUGUGUCCCUAUGGGGUCUCUAUGUGUUUCUAUGGGUCUCUAUGGGGUCCCUAUGGGUCUCUAUGGGGCCCCUAUGGGUCUCAAUGUGUCUCUAUGGGUCUCUAUGUGUUUCUAUGGGGCACCCCACAGUCCCUGGCCCUACGGGAGCAGCUCUCCCGCCGUCGUUCCGGCCUGGAGGACGUACCCAGCGAUGGGGACAGCUCGCCCCCUCCCCCCGAGGGUCGGCGCCGGGCUGCAGUAGCGCAGAGGGAACGCGUGGCGGCGCUGUGCCGACAGCUCGGCCGCCUGCAGGAGGAGGCGGCGGCGGCUCAAAGGGAGCUGGGCAGGGCACAGGAAGUGGGGGC